rnacentral:rRNA from 1 species
AGUAAAUAGAUACCCAGUAGUCCACGCUGUAAACGAUGAGUGCUGACGUUGGCGGGUUUACCUGCCGGUGUCGCAGCUAAACGCGUUAAGCACUCCGCCUGGGGAGUACGGCCGCAAGGUUAAAACUACAAAGGAAUUGACGGGGGCCCGGCACAAGCGGUGGAGCAUGUGGUUUAAUUCGACGCAACGCGCAGAACCUUACCAGCCCUUCGACAUGGGCGGACGGGGUCCGACGAGGAUGGACUCUUUCUUCGCAAGAGACCGCUACACAGGUGCUGCAUGGCUGUCGUCAGCUCGUGUCGUGAGAUGUUGGGUUAAGUCCCGCAACGAGCGCAACCCUCGUCGUCCAGUUGCCAUCGGGUAGAGCCGGGCAC